rnacentral:rRNA from 1 species
CGUACACUCCUACGGGAGGCAGCAGUGGGGAAUAUUGCACAAUGGGCGCAAGCCUGAUGCAGCCAUGCCGCGUGUAUGAAGAAGGCCUUCGGGUUGUAAAGUACUUUCAGCGGGGAGGAAGGCGAUAAGGUUAAUAACCUUGUUGAUUGACGUUACCCGCAGAAGAAGCACCGGCUAACUCCGUGCCAGCAGCCGCGGUAAUACGGAGGGUGCAAGCGUUAAUCGGAAUUACUGGGCGUAAAGCGCACGCAGGCGGUCUGUCAAGUCGGAUGUGAAAUCCCCGGGCUCAACCUGGGAACUGCAUUCGAAACUGGCAGGCUAGAGUCUUGUAGAGGGGGGUAGAAUUCCAGGUGUAGCGGUGAAAUGCGUAGAGAUCUGGAGGAAUACCGGUGGCGAAGGCGGCCCCCUGGACAAAGACUGACGCUCAGGUGCGAAAGCGUGGGGAGCAAACAGGAUUAGAAACCCGGGUAGUCCCA